UAAAUGUAUAUAUAUAUAUAGUUUAAGGAGUGACAAACAAGCGCUUAUGUCGCUUAUCUGAGAACUCCUGGGAAGGUCUGAGAAAAGGUACUACGUUAUGUGAAUCUUCUAGCAGGAGAGUGGCGUAAUACGCUGCAAGGUUCGUACUAGAAAAACGGCACACUUCAUAUAUGAUGUGAGAUGAAGAGCACAUGCCAGUUUUAAUGGCUUAUUGAGCCACGAAAAUUUUACUAUAAAUCCACUUGGCGAAGAAGUAUAGGUGCACGUUAAUCAUUUUACCAGCCAUUUUUGGAAGGAAGUUAUAACCGGUCAAAGUUCUUGUCAAGCCAGCCAUCGGCUCAAAAGUGAAAACAGCAACCAACUACCCUCUUAUUAUUUA
rnacentral:RNase_P_RNA from 1 species